rnacentral:pre_miRNA from 1 species
UGUUUUGAGGGGAAUGUUGUCUGGCUCGAGGUCACUAACUUGAUCCAAUUAUUUGAACUCUCUUUCCCUUUUUGAGAUGUCAUCUCCAUUAAUUAACAAAUAGAUCAAUAGUUCUUGAUUGGCAUUAGGGAUCAUGGAUCAUGGUUUAGUGUCGUCGGACCAGGCUUCAUUCCCCCCAAAAUUU